rnacentral:rRNA from 1 species
UACGUAGGGGGCAAGCGUUGUCCGGAUUUAUUGGGCGUAAAGAGCGUGUAGGCGGCUUGGUAGGUCCGCUGUGAAAACUCGAGGCUCAACCUCGAGAUGUCGGCGGAAACCACUUGGCUAGAGUCCGGAAGAGGAGAGUGGAAUUCCUGGCGUAGCGGUGAAAUGCGCAGAUAUCAGGAAGAACACCUAUGGCGAAGGCAGCUCUCUGGGACGGUACUGACGCUGAGACGCGAAAGCGUGGGGAGCGAACAGG